CUACUCUUGACAUCCAGCGAACUUUCCAGAGAUGGAUUGGUGCCUUCGGGAACGCUGAGACAGGUGCUGCAUGGCUGUCGUCAGCUCGUGUUGUGAAAUGUUGGGUUAAGUCCCGCAACGAGCGCAACCCUUAUCCUUUGUUGCCAGCGAUUCGGUCGGGAACUCAAAGGAGACUGCCGGUGAUAAACCGGAGGAAGGUGGGGAUGACGUCAAGUCAUCAUGGCCCUUACGAGUAGGGCUACACACGUGCUACAAUGGCGCAUACAAAGAGAAGCGACCUCGCGAGAGCAAGCGGACCUCACAAAGUGCGUCGUAGUCCGGAUCGGAGUCUGCAACUCGACUCCGUGAAGUCGGAAUCGCUAGUAAUCGUGGAUCAGAAUGCCACGGUGAAUACGUUCCCGGGUCUUGUACACACGC
rnacentral:rRNA from 1 species